GAACCUGUCGUAGAUGUCAACGCUGAGGCGACGACGCGUCUCUUUGAAUUCGGCAGAAACGUUGGCUGUCCACUCGGCAGCGUGCGCUCGGAACUCGCCCACCUGACGAUGCCCUUUCCGAAUAUGGUCCCCAGCUGGUCGCCCACUCCCGCCAGCAGGAAGCCGAACAGAGGGAUUCCCAGCAGCGCGUACACUAUGCAGAAUAUUCUGCCUCCUUCCGUAUGAGGGGAAAUGUUCCCGAAGCCUGCAGGAGAGAGAGAGGAUGCCGAAACAGAGUGCCAACAUCCACGCAACACUACAGGAAUACCAUUUGAAGUAUGCAGUAUGUAUUCUGUAUCCUGUAAUAAUCAUAUAACUUCGAAAACACCGUAAAAUGUCUGAGAUCUGAAAUCGUCACGCAAUGGAUGGAUCUUGCAAUGCUCUUUCUUUGUUUUAAAAGGAAAUUCUUAUCAACCGAGUGUCGAAGAUGCAGCGCGUGACAGUUUAUAGUCAAUGUUAAAGUGUGUACAUGUUCAGUGUAUAUAUUCAGCACUUCUACCAGGGAAAGAACGCGUCUGCGGAACACUGGAGUCUGAACACCCAGAACUUUCCCAAGAUAAAUAUUGACAUAUCUUUUGACCUUAACUCUGAAUACUCUCUACACAUCGACUCAUUUCUCAACCCCCAACACACACACACACACACACUUUUUUUCCCCCCCUUCUCUAUACAUUUCACACAGAGCUAAAAGAACUGUUUGGGUUCCUUCGCUUUCAUCGUCGCCGCGAUAUUAAUGUCGGUUCGUGCGAUUCAGAUCGGCUGUCGUUCAGAUAAGACGAAUAGUAACGCCCCACCUCACCUGUCUUUUUUUUUUCAAAAAAUGCCGGCUUCUAUAUAUAUUUAAAGAGGAUGAACGGUGGCAGAUUAAAAAGACAGUGAGGUUAAGUGGGUGAGUACGACAGGAUAACAAAGACUGGAAGGAGAAAUAGGAGAAAAUCAGAGCAGCUAAUGGAGCAGAAACGGAAGCCGGAUUAAAUAAAAUGUGAGAUGGAGCGAGCAGUCGAAAGACGUGCACGGGUGAGAUGUCAGGAAUAAUAGCUUCGGAGAAGAGCUGAGAAUAGGCGCCAGAUGAUGGGACGCUAUUACAGAAGUCCAUGUGAUUCACUACAGAAGUGCUUUAAGCCAGCCCUUUAGGAGGACACUCAUACUACAGUCUGUCCCUGGUGUGCAAGCAGAAAAGAUAAGGUGAGAUAAAGAUUUUAUACCAUAUCUCUGUUUGAUUCUAGUAUAUCUACAAUAAAACGUCGCCGCAAAUGCUUUGAGAAAAUCUGACUUAACUGUUGUUGUUUUUUUUUGUUUUUCCUAGUGUAGAACUGUAAUAUAACAUACAAGUGCCUCGAGCGGUUUCUUCGACCGAGCAGAUUUCCCUGACCUCAAAAAGCACCGCUUGCAAUUAAUGUUUCCCUUUCACCCUCGCCUGUACCAAUCAGCCCGCCUUCAACUUCCCUCUCCACCACUUAACUCGAGCAUUCGCUCGUCAUUGUAUAAAUCGGCUGAUUGCAAUUACCGCCUCUCUUUCUCUCUCUCUCUCUCUGUCUAAUAUCCUUCUGGAGCAAAAUGAACAAGACGUUCCACGUCAUGUAAAUGAACUGAGUGAAAGAGAUGACGAUGGGGGAUCAUGGGAUAAAACUCUGCAGCAUACAGUACAGCUGUCGUUGGCAUAUGCAAAUAUUUCCCUCGCUCUCUCGCUCAAACUCGAACACAGAGUCCGUCCAUCUUCUGCUCACUGUUUGACGCGCCGUCAGGGGAUUAUUUGACAGUCGCUAAACGAAUCCAUGCUCUGUUUUUCCUCAUUCUGACUCUGAUAAUGUCCAACUACAUCCAUCCAUCCAUCCAUCCACGGUCACGGGGAACCUGGAGCCUAUCCCAGGGAGCAUCGGGCACAAGGCGGGGUACAGAGUGCCAGUCCAUCGCAGGGCACAAUCACAUACACACUCACACACCCAACUACAAUAUCAUUCGCAUUUCUGACACAGCUAUCAGUUUUAGCUUCUUUUAUACCACUCUGGAUUCUGAUUGGUCAGAAGGUGUCGAUUCAUUUGCUAUGUCCUAUUAAUAAUAAUAAUAAUAAUAAUAAUAAUAAUAAUAAUAAUAAUAAUAGGGUUUAUAAAACGUAA